rnacentral:miRNA from 10 species
UGAAAUGUUUAGGACCACUAG